GCCUAGGUGGCUCAGUCGGUUGAGCAUCUGACUACGGCUCAGGUCAUAAUCUCACGGUUCUCAUGGGUUUGAGCCCCGCAUUGGGCU
rnacentral:tRNA from 1 species